GCGUUGGCUGAGCACUGGUGAGCUCAAGUGGCUGUAACCCACUCGCCUUCGGGCUAUGGCGGUUCAACUCCGUCCCAACGCA
rnacentral:tRNA from 1 species